rnacentral:tRNA from 1 species
GGGCCUAUAGCUCAGCUGGUUUAGAGCGCACGCCUGAUAAGCGUGAGGUCGAUGGUUCAUGUCCAUUUAGGCCCA